UCGCUCUUGGCUUGAAUACAUCUACCAAAACCCAAGUUACACCUAGAGAGAAGAAUAAGCCACCCAAACCUGAAUCUCCCACUGCUCAAACUCCAGAAGAAGAGAAGUUGUUGCAGGAUUUAACUAUGAAAGUAGGAAUCCAGGGGAUUAGCCGAAGUCUGGAUUUUGACUGUGAGAGGAGAAGAUUGAGAAAGCAUGAUUGCCUAAGCAAGAGUACCGGCCACUCUCCUCCAAGAGUAAGCAAGGAAAAGGGGUUGACAAAAAG
rnacentral:lncRNA from 1 species